UACAACCUCCUCCUGUAGCUCAACCUCCGCACUCCAGCCGACGUGGCUGCUUUUUUUUUUUUUUUAAAUUUGAAAACGUGCAUUUUUGUCCUUCUUGGUUGAUUUCAAAUUCUCACCCCCCACCCCGUGUGCUGUUUCACUUUUUCAUUCCCUUCCCCCGCAUUCUCUCCCCAACUCCCUCCGCUCAUCUCCUUUCGCCGACCUGACCAUCUGCCGGCACCAUGUGGCUUCAUCACUCCGAAACUGUGUGGCUCCAUCAUUCCGGCACCGUGUAAGAAAAUUCCUCUGGGUUCACUAUUCCGUACAAGGUUCGCGGUGGCAAGGUGGUCCAGAUCUAUCGUCGGACGUGGGUCAUACACAUUGAGCGUAUCACUCGCGAGAAGGUGAACAGGUCCACUGUCAACAUCGGCAUUAAUCCAUCCAAGGUGGUAAUCACCAAGCUCUGCCUCGACAAGGACCGUAAGUCCCCCCUCGACCGUCGAUAAUUCAAUAUAUCAAGGAAACAUUUUUCUGGGACCGUCGAUACCCACUGCCCAGCUCAUCGUCUCUUCCGCCCAGCAUUGUUCUUUGCUUGGUGCUUUGCCGACAAGGGAAUGAAUGAUGGCUUCGUGUCCAUCAUGAAUGUAGAUGAUGAGUGCAGAGUCAAGAAUGCAUUAUGGGCUAACACAUGUAUCCCCAAGUGAUGACCAUGUGACUGUAUUCUUGCACCAUUUGGAGGACUUUGAUGUCUUUGUUUUAAUUUAUGUGGCCUCAAAGAGUCAUUCAUGGAGUUGAAAAUUGAUGAAAACAAUAGAGUACAGGUGUUCUAAAAGUAUAAUGACUGAUUAUAUUGACACUCCCAAUUAGAAGUUACCAUUGAUUAAUUAUGAAAUGCCCCGAGCUUCGUUCACAUUGCAAUAACAAAUUUCCCAUAUCUUGCUCGUAUUGGGUUCUUUGCAUUGUUUGUUUGUAACAUGUAAGGAGGGAAAAAUUGCCAACAUAUAUGCACAUAUGGGACAUUCUUGAAGAAUUUCUAUUUGGCUAUUUUAAAUGUUUUGGGUUUGAAAGAUUAGCAUAUUUUGUAUUGUUUUCGAUCUAUUAAUAUGUGACUUGUCGAUUUUGCAGGUUGGGCAUGGUUAAUUUUUUUGGUAUUACUUAUAUCCACUUGUUAGUUCAAAGAAAAAUGUUAGUCAUUUGAUGUUGUAAUAGAAUUAACUAUGUAUGUAGAAGUUCACAUAUUAGUGAUUUAUUGUGAACUAUUUAAUGUGUAUGCAGAAGUGGUAAUUUAAUCCAGUUGUUGAAAGAAGGUAUUGAGGUCUCUAGUAAAUGUACAUACACUUGAGGUGGACCA